rnacentral:rRNA from 1 species
CCUACGGGAGGCAGCAGUGGGGAAUUUUGGACAAUGGGCGCAAGCCUGAUCCAGCCAUGCCGCGUGCGGGAAGAAGGCCUUCGGGUUGUAAACCGCUUUUGGCAGGAACGAAACGGCGAUUCCUAAUACGAGUCGUCAAUGACGGUACCUGCAGAAUAAGCACCGGCUAACUACGUGCCAGCAGCCGCGGUAAUACGUAGGGUGCAAGCGUUAAUCGGAAUUACUGGGCGUAAAGCGUACGCAGGCGGCUUUGCAAGACAGGUGUGAAAUCCCCGGGCCUAACCUGGUAACUGCAUUUGUGACUGCAUGGCUAGAGUCUGUCAGAGGGGGGUGGAAUUCCACGUGUAGCAGUGAAAUGCGUAGAGAUGUGGAAGAACACCGAUGGCGAAGGCAGCCCCCUGGGAUGAGACUGACGCUCAUGUACGAAAGCGUGGGGAGCAAACAGGAUUAGAUACCCUGGUAGUCCACGCCCUAAACGAUGUCUACUAGUUGUCGGAGGGUAACUCCUUCGGUAACGCAGCUAACGCGUGAAGUAGACCGCCUGGGGAGUACGGUCGCAAGAUUAAAACUUAAAGGAAUUGACGG